rnacentral:rRNA from 1 species
UUCCGGUUGAUCCUGCCGGACCUGACUGCUAUGGAGUAGGACUAAGUCACGCUAGUCAAAGGUGCGGAAUGGAGCACCUGGCGUACGGCUCAGUAACACGUAGUCAACCUACCCUAAGGACGAGGACAACCCACGGGAAACUGUGGCUAAUACUCGAUAAGAAAUUUGGCCUGGAACGGUAUCUUUCACAAAACCGGCUCGCCGUGAGACACGGGCCUUAGGAUGGGGCUGCGGCUGAUUAUGCUAGAUGGCGGUGUAAAGGACCACCAUGGCUACGAUCAGUAUGGGCGAUGGAAGUCGGAGCCCAGAGUCGGCUACUGAGACAAGGAGCCGAGCUUUACGAAGCUUAGCGGUCGCGAAAACUCGCCAAUGCACGAAAGUGUGAGUGGGCUACUCCAAGUGUCAUUCUUACGGAUGACUGUCGCACAGUCUUACCAGCUGUGAAAGGAAGGAGAGGGCAAGGCUGGUGCCAGCCGCCGCGGUAAAACCAGCUCUUCGAGUGGUCAGGACGAAUAUUGGGUCUAAAGCGCUCGUAGCCGGACAAGUAGGUUCUUGGUUAAAUCCGACAGCAUAACUGUUGGUCUGCUGGGAAUACCGCUAGUCUUGGGAGCGGGAGAGGACAGAGGUAGUCAUAGGGCAGGGGUGAAAUCCAGUGAUCCUAUGGCGACCACCGAUGGCGAAGGCAUCUGUCUGGAACGUAUCCGACGGUGAGGGGCGAAAGCUAGGGGAGCGACCCGGAUUAGAUACCCGGUUAGUCCUAGCCGUAAACGAUGCGGACUAGGUGUUACAGCGGCCAAGAGCCACUGUAGUGCCACAGUGAAGACGUUAAGUCCGCCACCUGGGGAGUACGGAUGCAAGUCUGAAACUUAAAGGAAUUGACGGGUGCGCACCACCAGGAGUGAAGCCUGCGGUUUAAUUGGAUUCAACGCCGGG